rnacentral:rRNA from 1 species
GGUCAAGUUUCUAAGAGCAAACGGUGGAUGCCUUGGCAUCUGGAGCCGAUGAAGGACGUAGAAAUCUGCGAUAAGCCUCGGGGAGCUGAUAAUCGAGCCUCGAUCCGAGGAUUUCCGAAUGGGGAAACCCCGCCAGGCGUUUUGCGACCUGGUGACUCCCGCCUGAAUAUAUAGGGCGGGUAGAGGGAACGUGGGGAAGUGAAACAUCUCAGUACCCACAGGAAGAGAAAACAACAUGUGAUUCCGUGAGUAGUGGCGAGCGAAAGCGGAUGAGGCUAAACCGAUCAUGUGUGAUAGCCGGCGGGCGUUGCAUGGUCGGGGUUGUGGGACACGUCACUCAGUUCUGCCGGACUGGGACGGUUACAGCGCAUCAUAGUCGAACCGGUUUGAAAGCCGGGCCGUAGUGGGUGCCAGCCCCGUAGACGAAAUGGUGUUAUGGCCGGAUGUGUAUCCCAAGUAGCACGGGGCCCGAGAAAUCCCGUGUGAAUCUGUCAGGACCACCUGAUAAGCCUAAAUACUCCCAGAUGACCGAUAGCGGACAAGUACCGUGAGGGAAAGGUGAAAAGUACCCCGGGAGGGGAGUGAAAUAGUACCUGAAACCGUUUGCUUACAAACCGUUGGAGCCUCCUUAGUAGGGGUGACAGCGUGCCUUUUGAAGAAUGAGCCUGCGAGUUAGUGAUACGUGGCGAGGUUAAC